rnacentral:rRNA from 1 species
UACGGAAGGCAGCAGUGGGGAAUAUUGCACAAUGGGCGAAAGCCUGAUGCAGCUAUGCCGCGUGUAUGAAGAAGGCCUUAGGGUUGUAAAGUACUUUCAUCGGGGAGGAAAAAACAAAACUAAUAAUUUUAUUUCUUGACGUUACCCGAAAAAGAAGCACCGGCUAACUCCGUGCCAGCAGCCGCGGUAAUACGGAGGGUGCUAGCGUUAAUCAGAAUUACUGGGCGUAAAGAGCACGUAGGUGGUUUUUUUAAGUUAGAUGUGAAAUCCCUGGGCUUAACCUGGAACUGCAUUUUGAAACUGAAAUACUAGAGUAUCGUAGAGGGAGGUAGAAUUCUAGGUGUAGCGGUGAAAUGCGUAGAUAUCUGGAGGAAUACCUGUGGCGAAAGCGGCCUCCUAAACGAAUACUGACACUGAGGGUGCGAAAGCGUGGGGAGCAAACAGGGAUUAGAUACC